AACAGCUCUCCCCUUCUGCAAUAUGUCCAAAAAGGCUUCUGAAGACACCAAACGGGCCGGAGUCCAGUGAGUGAGACCAUUCCUUAAUGCCUGAGGCCGAAAAACGGAGCAACCUAUGAACAAGAGGAAAUCAACAAGCGAAUAGGUGACAGUAUGCACACUCCGAUUGCGCCCCUCUGCAAAACAAUAAAUGAAGAAGACGACUUCCGGCAAGAUGACGAUUAGGCAUCCUCCUAAUUCCACCUGCCAAGCUGCCUCCACUCUGAAGACACAGAUAACGAAUCUACAAACAACAACAAUCGUCUUACAAGGCUCCUCUAGCAGCUCUGUAAGAUCAGAGACAGAGGUGCUUGGCUGGCUCAUUGACUGCUACAUUGUUCCGACCGCUGCUGUGAUGUUACCCUGGAUUUGGUCUAGUUUCAGCAUGAUUCUCCUCUCCAA